rnacentral:rRNA from 1 species
UACGGGGGGUGCGAGCGUUGUCCGGAAUCACUGGGCGUAAAGCGCGCGCAGGCGGUUUUUUAAGUUCGUGGUGAAAGACCGGGGCUCAACCCCGGAGCGUCCGCGAAGACUGGAAGACUGGAGUGUCGGAGAGGAGUGCGGAAUACCUGGUGUAGCGGUGGAAUGCGUAGAGAUCAGGUGGAACACCGAUGGCGAAGGCAGCACUCUGGCCGAAUACUGACGCUGAGGCGCGAAAGCGUGGGGAGCGAACGGG